CGAAUUCGACCGAGCACCAAGGUAUGUGUCAUAGCGAAAACAUAAUUUAUGAAUAAACGACGACGUUUGGAACUUUAUCCAGUUAAAAAAACCCCCCUCGUAAAAUAUUAUGUCGCGUUCACUUGAUCAAAUUAUCCUGAAAUAAUCGUUCGUUAUCUCGGAAAGUAUUGACUUCUUUCGGAAUCCCGUAGUUUGUUAAAAACGUAUGAAUCAAGCAACAUUAAAAUAUUACAUUACAGUUAUUUUUUGUCGCUGUUAUUUUCGAGUGUAAAAUCAUUACCUACUUUGAUUUUCAAAUUGUAGUUAUGUAGUU